GUAAAAAGGGCCGUGCGUCGUUUGUUGACUCGCUCCUCGUUCAUGAAGCGGAGCGGCCGCAGCGUUGCGGAGGACGACGGCGGCGGGAGGGGCGGAGAGGAGUGAGGGAUGUCGAUGCUGUGGGAGAAGAGCGAGACGUGGCGGUGGCUGGUGCGGAAGACCCGCGACUCGAAACGCUUCUUCUUUGCCUUCGCCACGGUGUGUGGCGUCGUCCCCGGUGGCAUCGGCUACUGUGUCAUGCAGCUCACUAACACCCGCAACGAGCAGCUCGAGGCCCACCUCCACCAGACCGCCCGCCCAGAAUCCACCGUAACCUGGAUGAUGGGGCAAGUUAACCGAGAGGCUGGCUGAGUUUCUGGGAGAGCUGCAGCGUAAGGAGGAUACCAGUGACCGGUAUGUAGCCGCUCUGAGAGGGGAGACCCUGACUAGGAAGCCCUAUGUUAGGAUUCAACCACUGCAAAAGGAAAACAAUGAAGAAACCAGAAAAGAUGCCUGCAAAGCAAACAAGUAGAUAAAAGGAUUGUGGUUCGGCACUCAAUCUGCAAACAUCAAACCCUGAAUCCUUCCCAGGACCAAAUUUUGGUACAAGGAACACUGGUUUGCUACAUUAUAUUGUUGUGUUUGCUUCAUAUCCUUAAUGGCUUUUUCUAAGAUAGCAUCACAAACUUCCUUUGGCUUGUAAUUGUAUAAUGUGGAGGAAUUGUCAUAUGUGGUUUAUGUUGAAUCUCGGAUUUUGAUGAUGAAACCAAUUGAUAGUAUUUAUGAUU